rnacentral:tRNA from 1 species
GGAGAGGUACCGAAGUGGUCAUAACGGGCUCGACUCGAAAUCGAGUAGUCGGGGUAACCGGCACGUGGGUUCGAAUCCCACCCUCUCCGCCA